UGUCCCCCCCUCAUUAUUUUCAUGGCCCCCACCCACUGCGCAGGGGUGGGGGCCAGGGGGGGAGGACAGUAGGUCCCACCUCCUAAUUUCCAUGGCCCCCACCCACUGUGGAGGGGUGGGGGCCAGGAGGGAGGACAGU